rnacentral:pre_miRNA from 1 species
CAAGUACUCCCUCCGUCUGGAAUUACUUGUCAUCAAAAUGGAUGUGUCUAGAACUAAAAUACAUCUAGAUACAUCCGUUUCAAUGACAAGUAUUUUCAGACGGAGGGAGUACAAG